rnacentral:rRNA from 1 species
GACGAACGCUGGCGGCGUGCUUAACACAUGCAAGUCGAGCGGUAAGGCCUUUCGGGGUACACGAGCGGCGAACGGGUGAGUAACACGAGGGUGAUCUGCCCUGCACUCUGGGAUAAGCCUGGGAAACUGGGUCUAAUACUGGAUAUGACCUCAGCAUGCAUGUGCUGGGGUGGAAAGCUUUUGUGGUGCAGGAUGGGCCCGCGGCCUAUCAGCUUGUUGGUGGGGUAAUGGCCUACCAAGGGGACGACGGGUAGCCGACCUGAGAGGGUGACCGGCCACACUGGGACUGAGACACGGCCCAGACUCCUACGGGAGGCAGGAGUGGGGAAUAUUGCACAAUGGGCGGAAGCCUGAUGCAGCGACGCCGCGUGAGGGAUGAAGGCCUUCGGGUUGUAAACCUCUUUCAGCAGGGACGAAGCGUGAGUGACGGUACCUGCAGAAGAAGCACCGGCUAACUACGUGCCAGCCGCCGCCGUAACAC